rnacentral:rRNA from 1 species
UGGGGAAUAUUGGGCAAUGGGCGCAAGCCUGACCCAGCAACGCCGCGUGAGUGAAGAAGGUUUUCGGAUCGUAAAACUCUGUCCGGAGGGAAGAAGAAAUGACGGUACCUCUGGAGGAAGCCCCGGCUAAUUACGUGCCAGCAGCCGCGGUAAUACGUAAGGGGCGAGCGUUGUCCGGAAUGACUGGGCGUAAAGGGUGCGUAGGUGGUAUCUUAAGUCAGAUGUGAAAGGCUCCUGCUCAACGGGAGAGUUGCAUUUGAAACUGGGGUACUUGAGUGCAGGAGGGGGAAGCGGAAUUCCUGGUGUAGCGGUGAAAUGCGUAGAGAUCAGGAGGAACACCGGUGGCGAAGGCGGCUUUCUGGACUGUAACUGACACUGAGGCACGAAAGCGUGGGGAGCAAACAGG